UUGAGGAUUGGAUUACACCCUCUGACAC
rnacentral:sRNA from 1 species